CUGGUUAUACGAUUGGCCAACAAU
rnacentral:siRNA from 1 species